CAGAGUUCGUGCCCUCACGGGUAGAUCUCCCACCCUGUGUUAUUAUACCUUUGUUGCUUUGGCGGGCCGCCCUCGGCUACCGGCCCCGGCUGGUACGCGCCCGCCAGAGGACCAAACUCUGAAAUUUAGUGAUGUCUGAGAACUAUUAAAUAGUAA
rnacentral:misc_RNA from 1 species